ensembl:piRNA 21ur-7125 ncRNA
UAUUGAAUGAACCUUAGAAAA